GAACUUAAGCAUAUCAAUAAGCGGAGGAAAAGAAACUAACAAGGAUUCCCCUAGUAACUGCGAGUGAAGCGGGAAGAGCUCAAAUUUAAAAUCUGGCAGCUGAUGGGCUUGUCCGAGUUGUAAUCUAGAGAAGCGUCUUCCGCGCUGGGACCGUGUACAAGUCUCUUGGAAUGGAGCAUCAUAGAGGGUGAGAAUCCCGUCUCUGACACGGAAUUUACCGGUGCUUUUGUGAUGCGCUCUCGAAGAGUCGAGUUGUUUGGGAAUGCAGCUCAAAAUGGGUGGUAAAUUCCAUCUAAAGCUAAAUACAGGCGAGAGACCGAUAGCGAACAAGUACCGUGAGGGAAAGAUGAAAAGGACUUUGAAAAGAGAGUUAAACAUUACGUGAAAUUGUUGAAAGGGAAACGAUUCAAGUCAGUCGCAUUAGCCAGUAAUCAACCCUCGCAAUUAACCUUGCUGGGCUUACUUUCUGGUUGAUGGGUCAGCAUCAAUUUUGACCGUCAGAGAAAGGCUUUGCGGGGAAUGUGACAUCUUCGGAUGUGUUAUAGCCCCAACUCGCAUGUGAUGGUCGGGAUUGAGGAACUCAGCACGCCUUUACAGGUCAGGGCCGCCAGAAUGGCCCAUGUAAACGUAGCUUAGGAUGCUGGCAUAAUGGCUUGAACCGACCCGUCUUGAAACACGGACCAAGGAGUCUAACAUGCCUGCGAGUGUUUGGGUGGAAAACCCGAGCGCGAAGUGAAAGUGAACUUGGUUGAGAUCCCUGUCGUGGGGAGCACCGACGCCCGGACCAGACCUUCUGUGACGGAUCUGCGGUAGAGCAUGCAUGUUGGGACCCGAAA
rnacentral:rRNA from 1 species